GUCGCCACCGUCCCCGCCCACAACAUCACCCGCAUGCUGGCCGCACACCCCGGCUUCUCCACCUUCAACCACUACCUCUCCGUCACCCACCUGGCCGAAGAGAUCAACCGCCGCCAGACCAUCACCGUCCUGGCCCUCGACAAUGCCGCCAUGUCCUCCCUCCUCGACAAGCACCUCUCCCUCCCCACCAUCAAAAACGUCCUCUCCCUCCACAUCCUCGUCGACUACUUCGGCGCCAAAAAGCUCCACCAGAUCAACAACAGCACCACCCUCGUCUCCUCCAUGUUCCAGGCCACCGGCUCCGCCUCCGGCACCGCCGGCUACGUCAACAUCACCAACCUCAAGGCCGGCAAGGUCGGCUUCGCCGCCGAAGACAACGACGGCUCCCUCCACUCCUUCUACGUCAAAUCCGUCAAGGAAAUGCCCUACUACAUCUCCGUCCUCCAAAUCAGCGCCGCCAUUAGCUCCGCCGACGCCGAGGCACCCACCGCCGCCCCCUCCGCCAUCG
rnacentral:lncRNA from 1 species